GGGGACUGCAGGCACAGUGAGGAAGGUAGGGAAGGGUCUCUCCAAGACAGGCCCACCAGGAGCCCCCACUGGGAAUAAUGCAGCCCCUCUCAGGGGAUGGAGUGUCUGGAAUUCCAUGGCUGAGGUGCAACAGGUCCCACAGCCUCUCCAGCCUCUGUGGGAAGAAGGAUCAUCUGAUGCCUAUGUAAUAGAGUUGCUGAAGGAGUGGAAGCAGCUUUGACAUUAUCAGUGGAACCCACCAGUGCAGACUGCUUCACCAAGGGCACCUGAGGCAGCAGAUCUGAGGAUUAGGGACGUAGGGAGCUGAAGCCUGGCUGGAGAGGUGGUGCGCACAAGAACCCCCACAUUCCCCGACAGGAGCCUGAAAAAGACGCCAUGUUGGGAGGACACGGAAGCAGUUCUAGGGAGAGGAGCACAUGGCAAGAAGCCAAGGCCUCCUGCCCACAGCCGAUACCCUGUGAUUGCCAGCAAGUAAACCAGAUGCAAUUGUGGUUUCCGUGAAGCACAGCUGGAAAACUGCUGCCCCCACGGAGGAAGAGGAAGAUGGGAAGAUGGUGGUUACUGCACACCAGGCACCAGCCUCGGGGCUAUGAGCUGUACAAACAUUACCCAUUUUAUCCUCGUGACCAUGUUCUGAGAAGGCUGUCAAUGAUCUCACUUUAUACAUGGGGAAAUUCAUGCAGACAGAGGCUGACUAAAUUGCCAUGGUCACUCAGCUAGUAGGAACUGGAGCUGUAACUUGAACCCGGGUCUUUUGUUUCUGUGGCUCCUGGUAGCACAUGCCGGGCUUGAAGUGAGAUCCGGAGGAUGUUGGAAACAACGUGUUCCCCAUCAUGAAAGUCCUUAUGAUACCUUAUGAUGCAGAGUUGGCAGCCAGGAGCAGGGGCUUCCAGAAGCAUGGCUGACCCUUGUUGGGAUCUCGCUCCUGUGAGCCUUGGAACGUCUAGGGAGAAAGAGCAGCCAAAUUUAGAGCUGCAGGAGCUUUGAGAUGCAGCUCAGGCAUCAUCUCUGGGAAGUCUUUCCUGGAACCACAGCCUGGGCCCUGUACCUGAUUCCCAGCCCCUGUGGCUCUUUUUGCAUUUGCUGCCUCUUUUCACAAUUCUGUCUCCUUAUGUCUUCCACUCUACACGCAAGCCCCUUGAGGGCAGGACCAUGACUCAGUCAUCCUGUACCCUAGCACCCACCCUGGGUCUGCAUCUGGAAGGAGCUCACUAAGUGAUUAUUGAGCCAAACUGAACUGUAGCAGGAGUGAGCAAAGCUAAUUCAUGGGUGCAGAAUGGGAGCACAGAGCUGCCAGAAUCCAGAGACAACUGUAACUGUCCCGGCACAGGGGGCUUCAGGCCGCGGUGAGAGCCACUGAAAGCAAGAGAGCCAGGUGGUGGCUCAGUUCACACUGAGUCCUGCUGAAGAAAUAGGCACAUCGUGUGUGUUAAAAUCAGCACCCCAUGCACCUGUAGGAAGAGACUGAGGCACCCUGGAGGCCCCUCCCAAUAAUUAAAAGGCCCUCUGGGGCCUGUGGGAGCCCUAGCUGAUGAAAUCACAAAGGCCUCAGCCUCUAAAGUGUUUCCAGUAAAAUGCUACCAGGAUUUUCCUCCCUUAAAUCUGGAUGAAAGGGCUGUCUGUGCUACAAAGUGCACACCUGGCGUUGAUACGCAGUCUCUUGCUGCCUGUUAACUAACCCACCAGCCGACAAGUUCUGCCCACUGGCAGGAGCAAGGACUUAUAAAAAAUAGUGCCUCCCUCCCAAGGGCUUAUGAGCUGGUUAAGUGCAGAGGACAAAUAGAAUGAAAGAAAAGGCAAUCUCGGCAUAGUAUUUAGUUAAUUCUUCUCUCUCUCUUGUUCCCUCUCUCUCCUUUCUCUCUUCCUCCCUCCUUUCUAUGACUUGUCCUCUCCACACAACUCCUUUUCCGUUUUCCCUCCCCUGCCUCCCCACCUUCUUUCUUGACUUCCCAUCUUGCUCCCUUUCUUCCUGCCUGCCCAUCUGCUUUCCUUUCUUAUCUCUGGUGCAAAUUCUGCAUAUAGUCGCUCUCCUCAUUUCAUGACAGGCUGUCUUCAUCAGUUUCUGAGUUCUUUUGUUAUUUUAUAAAAUAUUUUACAUGCUGUCCUCAAAAAAUCCCCUCCCCCAGAAAAGGCCCAUUCAAAAGUACUUACUAUACGUCCUUAGAUAGGCAAUGAUCUCUGAAAUAUAUAUAGGCUUGCUCUAUAUGUGUUUUUGUAAGUGUACUUUUCUUUCAUUAAAUAUGCAGAUCUUAAUUGUACAGUUUGAGGUGUUUUGACAAAGGUAUAUACCAGUAAAACCACCACCCCAACCAAGGUACCGAACACUUUCAUCUCUCUGGAAAGUCCCCUUGUGCCACCUUCCAGUCAACUCUCACCCUCCAGAGGCACCCACUGUUCAGAUUUCUACAUGCAUUUUGCCUGUUGCUGAACUGGAACCUCACAGCCUUUUACGUCUGGCUUCUUUCACUUAACAUAAUGUUUUUAAGUCAUCCAUGUAGUUCAUUCUUUUUUUUGUUGCAGAGCAAUAUUCCAUUGUGUGAAUGGAUGUACUUUAUCCAUCAACAGUUGAUGAAGUUGGGUUGGUGGCACUUUUUGGCUAUCGUGGGUAAUGCUGCUCUGGAUGUUUCUGCACAAGUCUUUAUUGUGGACAUGGGUUUCCAUUUCUUCUGGGCAAAUGCCCAGGAACAGAAUUGCUGAUUCAUUAGGAAGUUAUAUGUUUAACUUCAUAAGAAACUGGAAAACCGCACUCCACAGUGUUCAUGCUAUUGCACAUUGCCCCCAGUGCCAUGUGAAUGUUUCAUUCUUGGGGUCUAGAAUAUCUUACUGCAGUUUUAAUUGGAAGUUCUCUGAUGACUUUUGAUAGAGUAUCUUUUCAUGUGCUUAUUGGUUAUUUAUUUCUUCUUUAAAGAAGAGUCUAGAUCCUUUUCCCAUUUAAAAUUGCAUUGCUUCUAUUUUUACUGUUGAUUCUUAGAAGUUCUUUACAUAUUUUAGAUUUAUAUACAGUAAAUAUUUUCUCCCAGUCCAUGGCUUGCCUUUACCUUUUCUUAAUGGUGUCUUUUGAUUAACCAGACAUUUUAAAUUUUCAUGAAGCCUAUUGUAUCGGGGGUUGUUUUUGUUUGUUCAUUUAUGGUUAGUACUCUUUUUGGUGCUAGCCAGGAAAACUUUGCCUACAUUCUCCUAAGCUCAUGAAUAUAUUUUUCUAUAUUUGUUUCUAGGACAUUUAUAAUUCAAACUUUUAUGUUCUAGCCUAUCACUCAUGUAUAGUUAUGUAUAGUAUAAAUAAGGAUUGAAGUUCAUUUUUCUUUCCAUAUACUUAUCCAGUUAUUCCAGCACCAUUUGUUGAAAACACUUUCUUUCCCUCAUUGAAUUUCCUUGAAGCUUGUGCUCAUAACUUAUAUAACGAGUAUUGCGUUACAAUUUCCAUUAUAUUUCUUAAUUUUUCACUUAACACAAUGUUUAUAUGAUCUAUCCGCAAUGCUGUAUUCAGUCAUUUGAAUUCACUCAUUCAUUUUAUCAUUCAAUAAAUCUGCAGUGGUGAAGAAAACAGAA
rnacentral:lncRNA from 10 species